UACCCGCACCAAGAAUUGAACUUGGGAUUUCACCUUAUCAGAGUGAUGUAAUAAACCAUUUUACUAUACGGGC
rnacentral:tRNA from 1 species